GGGUUGGUUAUUAUUUAUGAGAUUUCCUAGGUAUACCAUAUCCUGAAGUAAUUACCAGUUGGGGUGAGGGGCUCUUGGUCCAAAUGUUAUGCUAAACACAACAAAGCCCAGCUCCUUUAUGAGACACAGUGAGGAACUGAGCUCCUGAUUCAGCAACCAGGCACUCCAGUUCACAGACCCUCCCUUCUUCACAUUAGAACAGUCAAUUAAAAAGAAUGAGAUAAGUGUUUGCUUGAUCUUGAAGCCAACAUGCUGGCAUGACGCUUCAAGUCAUCUCAGUUCAGAUAGAUUUUCCCCCACGGUUUUCUUUCUUUCUUUCUUUCUUUCUUUCUUUCUGUCUGUCUGUCUGUCUGUCUGUCUGUCUAUCUAUCUAUCUAUCUAUCUAUCUAUCUAUCUAUCUAUCUAUUAACUUUUUCAGCCCUAACAUAGCAUUGAUCCCUUGGCAUCUCAAUUUCACUGAUUUCCCAUCAGAAGCAAUGAACUGGCUUCAGCUGUGGCUCUUUGCCUUUGAGGGCCAUGUGAUCUGCGGGGAAGGUAUAAAAGGCCCUGGAGGGCCAGGGUAGGCUAUCCUUCCUCCUUUGUUCAUUGAGAUUGUGUUAGUAGCCACAGGGCUGGUCCUUGUGGCAAAUUGUUUGGUGGUGUUUGGCUGAGAGGCCCAGAGAAAGUUUUAACAUGUUCGUUUUCCAAAAUGCCUUCAAAGGCCUGGGCCAGCUUGAAGCCUACAUUGAUGCAGAGGAAGGAGUGGCUUUCCAGAUGGACAACAAUCUGUUCUGGGACUCUCUGGGUCGAGGCUACGGCUGGGCCAUCCAGGGCCUGUUUGACAAGAUGGAGUCAGCCAAGUUCUGGAUCACCCGCCUGCCCUCGGGGAAAGUUAUGCUGAGAGACUGGAUAGGCAUGUACCUUGCCGCGAGGGAUGUUGGGACAGAUCCUGACACUUUCCCCAUCCAGCCAGUCGAAUACUCCGAAGAUGCAUCUCUGCAGUUUGAGGUCUUCCAUAGAGGUAACAGGGUAGCCUUCCAGGCUUAUAACGGUCUCUUUCUGGCUAGGAUGUAUAGAGGGUUUUACACAAUAGAAGCAGCCAAGUUGUUUGCAGAUGAUGCAUGUUAUUUUCGGCCUCUGAUUGGGGAUCUUGUCCCCCCUAUCUUUGAACUUGUACAAAUGGACAUAGAAGAUUAUUCCAAAGUAAGAUGCCACCGCCAUGUUUUGGAGAAGCAGACCUACGUCAACCGGAGUAACGUCCUGGAGCGACAUAUCUUCACCAUGACUUGGGAGACUCACUGCAUUGACCGGAUCGUCUGGGAUCGUCUGUGGGGACUUGGCUUGCCCUUUUCGUGGAGUUUCACAGUGGAGGAUGCGACCCCCAGUGUGAAGUAUACUGAGGACAACGAGAAGGCCGUCUCUUUGACCAGGUAUAUUUACAUGAAGCAAAGGAAAGAGGUGGAGGUGCCCCCCAAGACCAAAGCCAUAGCCAGCCUUUUGGUUUUUUGGCAUAAGACAGCCGCUGUGCCGUUUACGGCCGUCAUAGAAAAGGUGAAAUCAAACGGAGAGGUGGAGGUUUUGUAUGAAGGUGGUGCCUGGCAUGGGCUUGCCUUUCGUGACCUCCACAUAAAGGUCAAGCUGGAAAAACUUGGUGGGUUGUGCCCAACCAUGUGAAGGCAGCAGAACUAGCAAGCUUCCAAAGGACCUGUGUGCCUGAAUGAAUAUUCUUGCUAGGAUCCUGAAUCAUCCUCAUUUGGCUCUUUGUCUGAUGCUGUCAUUUUGCACAGUUGCCAUCUCCUGGGGAAUCUCUGCCUAUUCCUUUCUGCUUCCCUGGUGUUGGAAUAAAAAAUGUUGGCUACCUUUUUAUGACA
ensembl:lncRNA